UCCGGGCUAAUGGACAUCUCUUGGGGCCUAUGGAUAAGGAGCAUCCCCGGUUGCAAGCGUAGGGUUCUAACUAAGUUUGUAGGGUUCAGUGCGGGAGCUUGGCAGUGACACAGAGAGGCUGAGGGAGGGCUUCAGAGGUCGAGGGCUCGAGGGCUGGAGACAAACAGUGAAAAUAAAAAGGGUACAGGUUGGGAUAUAAGGUAGAGUACAGGACUAUUCAAACCCUAAACAGCAGCCCUAACUGCGCUCCCAUUUCCCUGAGACAGCUGCAGGCAGGAACCCUAAAGCAGCAGAGUGCCAGAACCCCUGGUACUGCAGACAGUACCCCUGGUGCUAGGGUCAGCCAGGAAGAGAUAGUGGGUGCUAGGGCCUACUGCUGUCAUAUAAGAUGGGGUUUCCAUCCUUGGGGUACCCUGGGCUCCCUGUCCCUCACUGACUGGAGAGUCUUCCUCCCCUCCUUGAGGAGGUGGUAAUUUGGCUGUGUCAGCCAAUACAGCUGUGAAGCAAGCCUCUGCCUCCCUGUGGGGUGAAGUCUGCAGCCCAUGAACCUGGGCAUUCUCUAGAGAAGGUAAGUGCUGGGUUUUCACAGAUGUGCCGCUAAGAUCCUGCAUUGAUAUUUGGUCUUCUAGAUUGUAGCUGACCAGGAGACGACAUCCUGGCGAUGGCAGGAACUUCCCGGAUAGCGCAGCGGCCUUCCAGGGUGUCCUCGUGUGGAUCCUCCCCGCCAGGCAUCCGAGAGCUAAGUCAAAGGCUACAAAUUGCAGAGGGGCUAAAAGCGGGGUGCCGGGUCGGGACUCUGGACCUGGGAUUUUUGAGUCAGCUUUGGGGACGGGGAGGUCCAGGCUGUGGUCCCUUAGGCCACGUGAAGGGAGAGCCUCACAUUUGUUCACAGUGCUGAGGUGUGCAGGACAGAGCAGUCCCGGGGCGUGUCCCAUCACUUGUCCAUCGUGCCUUCUGUGUCUUUUGUGCCUCUCCUGUUGUAUGUGCCUCGCCUUAUCUCUUCUGGGGGCUUACCAGAAACCCCGGCAUCACUCCUCGCAUCUCUGAUCUCUGGGCUCCUCAGCCCGACACCAUCGAAGCUUUGCCUCGGGAGCUCUCAGAGGCCUUGGAAUCGUGUCUCUCUUUUAAAAGCAUCCGAUCGGAUGUCUUUUAGAGGUCUUGUUCCGUGCUGUGUCGACAGCCGUGCGCCGCGAGGAUCCAUUGUUGCGGCUUAGGUCUUGAAGAAACGCAGAGAUAGGUAGGGGGCUGUGGCCCUCAGAUUCUCGGGCAUCCGUCUUGGCAGUUGCUGGAGUUUGUCAUUCCGUCAGCAUCUUCUUCCUCCCGGGUUCUGCGAGCUUCAUCAGCUCGCCUUCAUUCUCACCCGGCUCAUCUCAUUCCGCGUUCUCUCGGUCCUUGCGGCCGUUCUUGUGGCCCAGAGUUUUGUCUCCCCGUUGUGUCCCCUCGUCUGUUGUCUUGUGUGUCACGGGUGUCUGGGUGUAGUUGUCCCGGAGCUGCUCUGUCCUGCUGCCCAGCCUGGGUGUAGGUGUAAAAGGCCAAGUCCCAGGCCCCUGUAAUUUGAAAUUUGUCAUGUAGGGUGUAGUUGGAGUCUAGAGGGUAUUCCUAGAUUGACACAAGAUGUCUGGAGCUGUGAAGUUACUCUGCAGCACUUUGACUUUUGUCCCAGCUUUCUUUCAGAUGCGGACGGAUGAAAUCGGUGGCAGAGCGCCCCAUCCAGGGUAAGGGGGUUCCCCCGAGAAGGUAAGUCAAUGUUUGUCUUUGCAGGGCAACUGGAACCGGUCACUGUGUGACAGGUCUCCUCUUUGUCUUUAUUCUUAGGAAGUGAAGCCAGCUGGCAGCAGUCAAGGUGAAGUGGACAAGGCGGUCCAGUCGCGUUUCGCUGAGACGUCCUUGCCAACCGGCCGGCACAGCUGCUUCACCGCUCGCGUGAGCCCUGCGGAAGCGUUAUGGAACCGUGUGACGGAGCCUUUUCCACGUAAAGGGGCCGUGUGGGUGGCCUUCAGGAAGGGGCCGAGGGGUUGCCGCACGCCCUGCGAUGACGGCGUCCGGCUCCCGGCGUGGCCGAAGCGCGCGGCCUCAGGACGUGGCCGUUCGCAGGAGACCCUGACUGAGAGACGGCAGCCUGGUGAUGGCAGGAACUUCCCAGAUGGCGAGGCGCCCUUCCUUGGCGCUCCAUGUGGAUCCUCCCCGCUGGGCAUCCGAGAGCUGAGUCGGAGGCUGCGAAUUGCAGAGGGGCUGAAAUCGGGGUGCCGGGUCGGGACUCUGGACCUGGGAUUAUGGAGUCAGCUUUGGGGACGGGGAGGUCCAGGCUGUGGCCCCUUAGGCCACGUGAAGGGAGAGCCUCACAUUUGUUCACAGUGCUGAGGUGUGCAGGACAGAGCAGUCCCGGGGCGUGUUGUAUCACUUGUCCGUCGUGCCUUCUGUGUCUUUUGUGCCUCUCGUGUUGUACGUGCCUCGCCUUAUCUCUUCUGGGGGCGUACCAGAAACCCUGGUGUCACUCCUCGCAUCUCUGAUCUCUGGGCUCCUCAGCCCGACACCAUCGAAGCUUUGCCUCAGGAGCUCUCAGAGGCCUUGGAAUCGCGUCUCUCUUUUAAAAGCAUCCGAUCGGAUGUCUUUUAGAGGUCUUGUUCCGAGCUGUGUCGACAGCCGUGCGCCGCGAGGAUCCAUUGCUGCGGCUUAGGUCUUGAAGAAGCGCAGAGAUAGGUAGGGGGCUGUGGCCCUCAGAUUCUCGGGCAUCCGUCUUGGCAGUUGCUGGAGUUUGUCAUUCCAUCAGCAUCUUCUUCCUCCCGGGUUCUGCGAGCUUCAUCAGCUCGCCUUCAUUCUCACCCGGCUCAUCUCGUUCCGCGUUCUCUCGGUCCUUGCGGCCGUUCUUGUGGCCCUGAGUUUUGUCUCCUCAUUGUGUCCCCUCGUCUGUUGUCUUGUGUGUCACGGGUGUCUGGGUGUAGUUGUCCCGGAGCUGCUCUGUCCUGCUGCCCAGCCUGGGUGUAGGUGUAAAAGGCCGAGUCCUAGGCCCCUGUAAUUUGAAAUUUGUCAUGUAGGGUGUAGUUGGAGUCUAGCGGGUGUUCCUAGAUUGACACAAGAUGUGUGGAGCUGUGAAGUCACCCUGCAGCACUUUGACUUUUGUCUCAGCUUUCUUUCAGAUGCGGACGGAUGAAAUCGGUGGCAGAGCGCCCCAUCCAGGGUAAGGGGGUUCCCCCGAGAAGGAAGUGAAGCCAGCUGGCAGCAGUCAAGGCAAAGCGGGCAAGGCGGUCCAGUCGCGUUUCGCUGAGACGUCCUCGCCAACCGGCCGGCACAGCUGCUUCACCGCUCCCGUGAGCCCUGCGGAAGCGUUAUGGAACCGUGUGAUGGAGCCUUCUCCACGUAAAGGGGCCGUGUGGGUGGCCUUCAGGAAGGGGCCGAGGGGUUGCCGCGCGCCCUGUGACGACGGCGUCCAGCUCCCGAUGUGGCCGAAGCGCGUGGCCUCAGGACGUGGCCGUUCGCAGGAGACCCUGACCGAGAGACGGCAGCCUGCCGAUGGCAGGAACUUCCCAGAUGGCGAGGCGCCCUUCCUUGGCGCUCCGUGUGGAUCCUCCCCGCUGGGCAUCCGAGAGCUGAGUCGGAGGCUGCGAAUUGCAGAGGGGCUGAAAUCGGGGUGCCGGGUCGGGACUCUGGACCUGGGGUUAUGGAGUCAGCUUUGGGGACGGGGAGGUCCAGGCUGUGGCCCCUUAGGCCACGUGAAGGGAGAGCCUCACAUUUGUUCACAGUGCUGAGGUGUGCAGGACAGAGCAGUCCCGGGCCGUGUUGUAUCACUUGUCCGUCGUGCCUUCUGUGUCUUUUGUGCCUCUCGUGUUGUACGUGCCUUGCCUUAUCUCUUCUGGGGGCUUACCAGAAACCCCAGUGUCACUCGUAGCAUCUCUGAUCUCUGGGCUCCUCAGCCCGACACCAUCGAAGCUUUGCCUCGGGAGCUCUCAGAGGCCUUGGAAUCGUGUCUCUCUUUUAAAAGCAUCCGAUCGGAUGUCUUUUAGAGGUCUUGUUCCGAGCUGUGUCGACAGCCGUGCGCCGCGAGGAUCCAUUGUUGCGGCUUAGGUCUUGAAGAAACGCAGAGAUAGGUAGGGGGCUGUGGCCCUCAGGUUCUCGGGCAUCCGUCUUGGCAGUUGCUGGAGUUUGUCAUUCCAUCAGCAUCUUCUUCCUCCCGGGUUCUGCGAGCUUCAUCAGCUCGCCUUCAUUCUCACCCGGCUCAUCUCGUUCCGCGUUCUCUCGGUCCUUGCGGCCGUUCUUGUGGCCCUGAGUUUUGUCUCCUCAUUGUGUCCCCUCGUCUGUUGUCUUGUGUGUCACGGGUGUCUGGGUGUAGUUGUCCCGGAGCUGCUCUGUCCUGCUGCCCAGCCUGGGUGUAGGUGUAAAAGGCCGAGUCCUAGGCCCAUGUAAUUUGAAAUUUGUCAUGUAGGGUGUAGUUGGAGUCUAGCGGGUGUUCCUAGAUUGACACAAGAUGUGUGGAGCUGUGAAGUUACCCUGCAGCACUUUGACUUUUGUCUCAGCUUUCUUUCAGAUGCGGACGGAUGAAAUCGGUGGCAGAGCGCCCCAUCCAGGGUAAGGGGGUUCCCGCGAGAAGGUAAGUCAAUGUUUGUCUUUGCAGGGCAAC